UAUUUAUAAGCUACCACUAGAAGAUGGGUCUGCGUCUGAUUAGCUAGUUGGUGAGGUAAUGGCCACCAAGGCGACGAUCAGUAGCCGGUCUGAGAGGAUGAACGGCCACACUGGGACUGAGACACGGCCCAGAUCCUACGGGAGGCAGCAGUGGGGAAUCUUCCGCAAUGGACGAAAGUCUGACGGAGCAACGCCGCGUGAGUGAGAAGGUUUUCGGAUCGUAAAACUCUGUUUUCAGGGACGAAUGUGCGAUAUGUGAAUAAUGUGUUGUAAUGACGGUACCUGACAAGAAAGCCACGGCUAACUACGUGCAGCAGCCGCGGUAAUACGUAGGUGGCAAGCGUUGUCCGGAAUUAUUGGGGUAAAGCGCGCGCAGGUGGGAUAAUAAGUCUGAUUUAAAGUUCGGGGCUCAACCCGGAAGCAUUUGGAUACUGUUAUUCUUGAGUGCAGGAGAGGAAAGUGGAAUUCCUAGUGUAGCGGUGAAAUGCGUAGAUAUUAGGAGGAACACCAGUGGCGAAGGCGACUUUCUGGACUGUGUCUGACACUGAGGCGCGAAAGCCAGGGUAGUGAACGGGAUUAGAUACCCCGGUAAUCCUGGCCGUAAACGAUGGGUACUAGGUGUUGGGGGGUAUGACCCCUCCAGUGCCGGAGUUAACGCAAUAAGUACCCCCGCUGGGGAAGUACGGCCGCCAAGGUUGAAAACUCAAAGGAAUUGACCGGGGGCCCGGCACAAGCGGUGGAAGUAUGUGGUUUAAUUCGACGCAACGCGAAGAACCUUACCAAGGCUUGACAUCGUCUGAUGAUCCUAGAGAUAGGAAGUUCUUCUUCGGAAGACAGAUAGACAGGUGGUGCAUGGCUGUCGUCAGCUCGUGUCGUGAGAUGUUGGGUUAAGUCCCGCAACGAGCGCAACCCUUAUCCUAUGUUGCCAGCACGUAAUGGUGGGAACUCAUGGGAGACUGCCGUGGAUAACACGGAGGAAGGUGGGGAUGACGUCAAGUCAUCAUGCCCCUUAUGUCUUGGGCUACACACGUACUACAAUGGGCUUUAAUAGAGGGUAGCG
rnacentral:rRNA from 1 species